rnacentral:rRNA from 1 species
UAAGGAAUAUUGCUCAAUGGGAGAAUCCUGAAGCAGCAACGCCGCGUGGAGGAUGAAGGGUUUUUAACUUGUAAACUCCUGUAAAGAAGGAAAAAAUUCCCAUUAGAUGGGAAAUGAUGGUACUUCUGGAGUAAGCCCGGCUAACUACGUGCCAGCAGCCGCGGUAAUACGUAGGGGGCAAGCGUUGUCCGGAUUUACUGGGUGUAAAGGGUGCUCAGGCGGAUUUGUAAGUCAGAGGUGAAAUCUCACAGCUUAACUGUGAAACUGCCUUUGAUACUGCAAGCCUAGAGUAUGGAAGAGAGUGAUGGAAUAUCUGGUGUAGCAGUGAAAAUGCGUAGAUAUCAGAUAGAACACCAAUGGCGAAGGCAGUCACUUGGUCCAUAACUGACGCUAAAGCACGAAAGCGUGGGUAGCAAAACAGGAUUAGAUACCCUGGUAGUCCACGCCCUAAACGAUGAAUACUAGAUGUUGGCUUCGCAUGAAGUCAGUAUCUGAGCUAACGCAUUAAGUAUUCCACCUGGGAAGUACGAUCGCAAGGUUGAAACUCAAAGGAAUUGACGGGGUCAUAGCUGUUUCCUG